UAAGUUAUUAAGGGCGCACGGUGGAUGCCUUGGCACUAGAAGCCGAUGAAGGACGUUACUAACGACGAUAUGCUUUGGGGAGCUGUAAGUAAGCUUUGAUCCAGAGAUUUCCGAAUGGGGAAACCCAGCAUGAGUUAUGUCAUGUUAUCGAUAUGUGAAUACAUAGCAUAUCAGAAGGCACACCCGGAGAACUGAAACAUCUUAGUACCCGGAGGAAGAGAAAGAAAAUUCGAUUCCCUUAGUAGCGGCGAGCGAAACGGGAAGAGCCCAAACCAACAAGCUUGCUUGUUGGGGUUGUAGGACACUCUAUACGGAGUUACAAAGGACGACAUUAGACGAAUCAUCUGGAAAGAUGAAUCAAAGAAGGUAAUAAUCCUGUAGUCGAAAAUGUUGUCUCUCUUGAGUGGAUCCUGAGUACGACGGAACACGUGAAAUUCCGUCGGAAUCUGGGAGGACCAUCUCCUAAGGCUAAAUACUCUCUAGUGACCGAUAGUGAACCAGUACCGUGAGGGAAAGGUGAAAAGCACCCCGGAAGGGGAGUGAAAUAGAACCUGAAACCGUGUGCUUACAAGUAGUCAGAGCCCGUUAAUGGGUGAUGGCGUGCCUUUUGUAGAAUGAACCGGCGAGUUACGAUUUGAUGCAAGGUUAAGCAGUAAAUGUGGAGCCGUAGCGAAAGCGAGUCUGAAUAGGGCGUUUAGUAUUUGGUCGUAGACCCGAAACCAGGUGAUCUACCCUUGGUCAGGUUGAAGUUCAGGUAACACUGAAUGGAGGACCGAACCGACUUACGUUGAAAAGUGAGCGGAUGAACUGAGGGUAGCGGAGAAAUUCCAAUCGAACCUGGAGAUAGCUGGUUCUCUCCGAAAUAGCUUUAGGGCUAGCCUCAAGUGAUGAUUAUUGGAGGUAGAGCACUGUUUGGACGAGGGGCCCCUCUCGGGUUACCGAAUUCAGACAAACUCCGAAUGCCAAUUAAUUUAACUUGGGAGUCAGAACAUGGGUGAUAAGGUCCGUGUUCGAAAGGGAAACAGCCCAGACCACCAGCUAAGGUCCCAAAAUAUAUGUUAAGUGGAAAAGGAUGUGGCGUUGCCCAGACAACUAGGAUGUUGGCUUAGAAGCAGCCAUCAUUUAAAGAGUGCGUAAUAGCUCACUAGUCGAGUGACACUGCGCCGAAAAUGUACCGGGGCUAAACAUAUUACCGAAGCUGUGGAUUGUCCUUUGGACAAUGGUAGGAGAGCGUUCUAAGGGCGUUGAAGCAUGAUCGUAAGGACAUGUGGAGCGCUUAGAAGUGAGAAUGCCGGUGUGAGUAGCGAAAGACGGGUGAGAAUCCCGUCCACCGAUUGACUAAGGUUUCCAGAGGAAGGCUCGUCCGCUCUGGGUUAGUCGGGUCCUAAGCUGAGGCCGACAGGCGUAGGCGAUGGAUAACAGGUUGAUAUUCCUGUACCACCUAUAAUCGUUUUAAUCGAUGGGGGGGACGCAGUAGGAUAGGCGAAGCGUGCGAUUGGAUUGCACGUCUAAGCAGUAAGGCUGAGUAUUAGGCAAAUCCGGUACUCGUUAAGGCUGAGCUGUGAUGGGGAGAAGACAUUGUGUCUUCGAGUCGUUGAUUUCACACUGCCGAGAAAAGCCUCUAGAUAGAAAAUAGGUGCCCGUACCGCAAACCGACACAGGUAGUCAAGAUGAGAAUUCUAAGGUGAGCGAGCGAACUCUCGUUAAGGAACUCGGCAAAAUGACCCCGUAACUUCGGGAGAAGGGGUGCUCUUUAGGGUUAACGCCCAGAAGAGCCGCAGUGAAUAGGCCCAAGCGACUGUUUAUCAAAAACACAGGUCUCUGCUAAACCGUAAGGUGAUGUAUAGGGGCUGACGCCUGCCCGGUGCUGGAAGGUUAAGAGGAGUGGUUAGCUUCUGCGAAGCUACGAAUCGAAGCCCCAGUAAACGGCGGCCGUAACUAUAACGGUCCUAAGGUAGCGAAAUUCCUUGUCGGGUAAGUUCCGACCCGCACGAAAGGCGUAACGAUUUGGGCACUGUCUCAACGAGAGACUCGGUGAAAUCAUAGUACCUGUGAAGAUGCAGGUUACCCGCGACAGGACGGAAAGACCCCGUGGAGCUUUACUGUAGCCUGAUAUUGAAAUUCGGCACAGCUUGUACAGGAUAGGUAGGAGCCUUUGAAACGUGAGCGCUAGCUUACGUGGAGGCGCUGGUGGGAUACUACCCUAGCUGUGUUGGCUUUCUAACCCGCACCACUUAUCGUGGUGGGAGACAGUGUCAGGCGGGCAGUUUGACUGGGGCGGUCGCCUCCUAAAAGGUAACGGAGGCGCUCAAAGGUUCCCUCAGAAUGGUUGGAAAUCAUUCAUAGAGUGUAAAGGCAUAAGGGAGCUUGACUGCGAGACCUACAAGUCGAGCAGGGUCGAAAGACGGACUUAGUGAUCCGGUGGUUCCGCAUGGAAGGGCCAUCGCUCAACGGAUAAAAGCUACCCCGGGGAUAACAGGCUUAUCUCCCCCAAGAGUUCACAUCGACGGGGAGGUUUGGCACCUCGAUGUCGGCUCAUCGCAUCCUGGGGCUGUAGUCGGUCCCAAGGGUUGGGCUGUUCGCCCAUUAAAGCGGUACGCGAGCUGGGUUCAGAACGUCGUGAGACAGUUCGGUCCCUAUCCGUCGUGGGCGUAGGAAAUUUGAGAGGAGCUGUCCUUAGUACGAGAGGACCGGGAUGGACAUACCUCUGGUGUACCAGUUGUCGUGCCAACGGCAUAGCUGGGUAGCUAUGUGUGGACGGGAUAAGUGCUGAAAGCAUCUAAGCAUGAAGCCCCCCUCAAGAUGAGAUUUCCCAACUUCGGUUAUAAGAUCCCUCAAAGAUGAUGAGGUUAAUAGGUUCGAGGUGGAAGCAUGGUGACAUGUGGAGCUGACGAAUACUAAUCGAUCGAAGACUUAAUCA
rnacentral:rRNA from 1 species